GCGCCAUGUCGGGUUCCUCGAGC
rnacentral:piRNA from 1 species